rnacentral:rRNA from 2 species
CCCUAGUAACGGCGAGUGAAGCGGCAACAGCUCAAAAUUUGAAAUCUGGCUCUCGGGCCCCGAGUUGUAAUUUGUAGAGGAUACUUUUGAUGCGGUGCCUUCCGAGUUCCCUGGAACGGGACGCCAUAGAGGGUGAGAGCCCCGUCUGGUUGGAUGCCAAAUCUCUGUAAAGUUCCUUCGACGAGUCGAGUAGUUUGGGAAUGCUGCUCUAAAUGGGAGGUAUAUGUCUUCUAAAGCUAAAUACCGGCCAGAGACCGAUAGCGCACAAGUAGAGUGAUCGAAAGAUGAAAAGCACUUUGAAAAGAGAGUUAAAAAGUACGUGAAAUUGUUGAAAGGGAAGCGUUUAUGACCAGACUUGGGCUUGGUUAAUCAUCUGGGGUUCUCCCCAGUGCACUUUUCCAGUCCAGGCCAGCAUCAGUUUUCCCCGGGGGAUAAAGACUUCGGGAAUGUGGCUCUCUUCGGGGAGUGUUAUAGCCCGUUGUGUAAUACCCUGGGGGGGACUGAGGUUCGCGCAUCUGCAAGGAUGCUGGCGUAAUGGUCAUCAACGACCCGUCUUGAAACACGGACCAAGGAGUCGUCUUCGUAUGCGAGUGUUCGGGUGUCAAACCCCUACGCGUAAUGAAAGUGAACGCAGGUGAGAGCUUCGGCGCAUCAUCGACCGAUCCUGAUGUUCUCGGAUGGAUUUGAGUAAGAGCAUACGGGGCCGGACCCGAAAGAAGGUGAACUAUGCCUGUAUAGGGUGAAGCCAGAGGAAACUCUGGUGGAGGCUCGCAGCGGUUCUGACGUGCAAAUCGAUCGUCAAAUAUGGGCAUGGGGGCGAAAGACUAAUCGAACCUUCUAGUAGCUGGUUUCCGCCGAAGUUUCCCUCAGGAUAGCAGUGUUGAACUCAGUUUUAUGAGGUAAAGCGAAUGAUUAGGGACUCGGGGGCGCUAUUUAGCCUUCAUCCAUUCUCAAACUUUAAAUAUGUAAGAAGCUCUUGUUGCUUAAUUGAACGUGAGCAUUCGAAUGUAUCAACACUAGUGGGCCAUUUUUGGUAAGCAGAACUGGCGAUGCGGGAUGAACCGAACGCGAGGUUAAGGUGCCAGAGUAGACGCUCAUCAGACACCACAAAAGGUGUUAGUACAUCUUGACAGCAGGACGGUGGCCAUGGAAGUCGGAAUCCGCUAAGGACUGUGUAACAACUCACCUGCCGAAUGUACUAGCCCUGAAAAUGGAUGGCGCUCAAGCGUCUCACCCAUACCUCGCCCUCAGGGUAGAAACGAUGCCCUGAGGAGUAGGCGGACGUGGAGGUCAGUGACGAAGCCUAGGG